CCCUUAGAUGUUCUGGGCCGCACGCGCGCUACACUGACGAAUGCAACGAGCUUAUAACCUUGGCCGAAAGGUCUGGGUAAUCUCCAAAUUUCGUCGUGAUGGGGAUAGAUUAUUGCAAUUAUUAAUCUUCAACGAGGAAUGCCUAGUAAGCGCAAGUCAUCAGCUUGCGUUGAUUACGUCCCUGCCCUUUGUACACACCGCCCGUCGCUCCUACCGAUUGAAUGGUCCGGUGAAGCGCUCGGACCGCGGCCUCUUGACGGUUUUCCGUCGAUUGGCUGUGGGAAGUUCGUUAAACCUUNUNAUUUAUNGGAAGGAGAANUCGUANCA
rnacentral:rRNA from 1 species